rnacentral:lncRNA from 10 species
GGAAAGCAAAAGGUGGUGGUGGGGACCUUCUCCAUGUUUAUGGGUCUAUGCUGAAAAUCCCAGUACAGAUAUGAGGAAAGAGCCCUCUUAUGGGCAAUGGAAAAGCUUAGAUUGGUUCAAAUAACACAGUGAAGCCUACUGAUUUAAGAUGAUGCUUUGAAUAGAACACUUAAAAUUUAGGUCUUUCCUUAGCCUCUGAGUUGUAUAAACCACAUGAUGUGGGGACUUUGAUGUCCUCCAGUUUCUUUCUGAUUUGAAAUGGAGCUAAUGCUAUCUCCUGCCACCUCCCAGAAGGACACAGAGGAAAUAUAAACAUUGACGUGGUGGUGGCAUCUUAGUAAAAAAAAAAUCACGAGGGUUCAGUUUGCUAAAGCAAGACUUGGAAUGACCUGAUAAAUGGCCAGGAAAGACCAACUGUGGGAAAUAAAUUCCUCUCCAGACUUUAGCUGUUGGGGUUAGGAUUUCCAGUUCAUAGCUUUACUUAGGAAGGUGAGCAGGCUCAGAAAAUGCACAGACCCCUUUGAGGGCUGAGCACCCAGACAGGGCGGCUGGCUCAGCUGGAUAAUUCCUCUGGAUUAGGGGAACUCUGGGGGAGGGAUUUUAAUAAGCGGAAAUGUCUCCCCACUCAUGGAAUAAUGGGUUGAGACAAAGAGCAGCUGGAAAUCAAGAGAAGGCCAAAGAGGGCGAGAGAGAAAGAUAAUGUGAGAAGAGGAAAGAAGAAAGGACCGCUAGCUACAGCAGAGGGUUCAUUCUCAGGGGAAAACUCAUGCUAAAAUUCAAGAAAACCUCUCCUAAAGUAAGCUGUUUGGCGAUCUUGAGAAAGGCUUAGCCUCUGGAAGCAAAGUGUUAGCUAAAUACAAAGACUUGAUAUAGUCUGGAUGUUUGUCCAAGCCUCAAGUUGAAAUUUGAUCUCCAAUGUUGGACGUGGGGUCUAACGGGAGGUGCUGAGUCCUGGGGCAGAUCCCUCAUGAACAGAUUCAUAACCUCCCUGUAGGGGGUUGUGAGUGAGUUCUCUAUUAGUUCCUGCAAGAACUGGUUGUUUAAAAGAGCCUGGCGCUUCCUCUCUCUCUUUUC